rnacentral:snRNA from 1 species
AUACUUAUUGGCGGGAGAGAUGCCUUGAUCACAAAAGUGGUUUUCCCAGGUCAAGGCUUAUCCAUUGCAAUCUGGAUGUGCUGACCCCUGUGAUUUGCCCAAAGGGUGCGGGACACAACUGCAAGA